rnacentral:rRNA from 1 species
AGUUAACGUUGGCGGCGUGCCUAACACAUGCAAGUCGAACGCGUCCUAAGGGCAACUUUAGGAUGAGUGGCGAACGGGUGAGUAUCACGUGGGUAAUCUUCCUUUAAGUGGGGAAUAAGCUCUCGAAAGGGAGUCUAAUACCGCAUGACAUUCCGGGACACAAGUCCCGUAAUCAAGGCCGCAAGGCGCUUGAAGAUGAGCCUGCGUCCUAUUAGCUAGUUGGUGGGGUAACGGCCUACCAAGGCUCAGAUGGGUAGCCGGCCUGAGAGGGUGAACGGCCACACUGGGACUGAGACACGGCCCAGACUCCUACGGGAGGCAGCAGUGAGGAAUUUUGCGCAAUGGGGGAAACCCUGACGCAGCGACGCCGCGUGGAGGAUGAAGGCCUUCGGGUCGUAAACUCCUGUCAGAGGUGAAGAAUGCCCGCAAGGGUUUGACGGUAACCUCAGAGGAAGCCCCGGCUAACUACGUG